rnacentral:rRNA from 1 species
GACGAACGCUGGCGGCGUGCCUAAUACAUGCAAGUUGAGCGCUGAAGGUUGGUACUUGUACCAACUGGAUGAGCAGCGCACGGGUGAGUAACGCGUGGGGAAUCUGCCUUUGAGCGGGGGACAACAUUUGGAAACGAAUGCUAAUACCGCAUAAAAACUUUAAACACAAGUUUUAAGUUUGAAAGAUGCAAUUGCAUCACUCAAAGAUGAUCCCGCGUUGUAUUAGCUAGUUGGUGAGGUAAAGGCUCACCAAGGCGAUGAUACAUAGCCGACCUGAGAGGGUGAUCGGCCACAUUGGGACUGAGACACGGCCCAAACGCCUACGGGAGGCAGCAGUAGGGAAUCUUCGGCAAGGGACGAAAGUCUGACCGAGCAACGCCGCGGGAGUGAAGAAGGUUGUCGGAUCGUAAAACUCGGUUGGUAGAGAAGAACGUUGGUGAGAGUGGAAAGCUCAUCAAGUGACGGUAACUACCCAGAAAGGGACGGCUAACUACGUG